AAGUCGUAACAAGGUUUCCGUAGGUGAACCUGCGGAAGGAUCAUUACCGAGUUAGGGGUCUCAGGCCCCGACCUCCAACCCUUUGUCUACUUAAACCACGUUGCUUCGGCGGACCCGUCCCGGUGCCUCGUGCCUGGGACCGCCGGGGGGAUGACCCCUGGCCCGUGCCCGCCGAUAGCCUAAUUAUUAACUCUUGAUGAAUUCUGUCGUCUGAGUGUCUAUAUAAAUAAGCACAAAACUUUCAACAACGGAUCUCUUGGUUCUGGCAUCGAUGAAGAACGCAGCGAAAUGCGAUAAGUAAUGCGAAUUGCAGAAUUCCGUGAGUCAUCGAAUCUUUGAACGCACAUUGCGCCCUCUGGUAUUCCGGAGGGCAUGCCUGUUCGAGCGUCAUUAUCAACCCUCAAGCCCGGCUUGAUGUUGGACCUGGUCGCGAGAGCGACCGGUCCCAAAGAGAACGACGGCGUCGCGAGGACCCUCGGUACAAUGAGCUUUUCACGAAGCACGUACUGUAGCGGCCCCGUGGCCCGGUCACCCAUCUUACUUCUAAGGUUGACCUCGGAUCAGGUAGGGAUCCCCGCUGAACUUAA
rnacentral:rRNA from 1 species